rnacentral:rRNA from 1 species
CAGUCGCCACGGGAAUACGAGGGGGGCAAGCGUUGUUCGGAAUUAUUGGGCGUAAAGGGUGCGUAGGCGGUUUGGCAAGUUUGGUGUGAAAUCUUCGGGCUCAACUUGAAGUCUGCAUCGAAAACUGCCGGGCUUGAGUAUGGGAGAGGUGAGUGGAAUUUCCGGUGUAGCGGUGAAAUGCGUAGAGAUCGGAAGGAACAUCUGUGGCGAAGGCGACUAUCUGGGCCAACACUGACACUGAGGCACGAAAGCGUGGGGAGCAAACAGGAUUAGAUACCCCUGUAGUCCCUGUCUCUUAUAC